UCAACUCUUUCAUAUUUUCAAUUCCAGAGAGUGAUGCUCCUCCUUGACAUCUGCAAAUUUUCUCGGC
ensembl:ncRNA C49C3.22 ncRNA